AAUUUACCCGAUAGUGGGGGAUAACCUGGGGAAACUCAGGCUAAUACCGCAUACGUCCUACGGGAGAAAGGGGGCUUUGGCUCCCGCUAUCGGAUGAGCCUAUGCUGGAUUAGCUGGUCGGUGAGGUAAUGGCUCACCAAGGCGACGAUCCGUAGCUGGUCUGAGAGGAUGAUCAGCCACAUCGGGACUGAGACACGGCCCGAACUCCUACGGGAGGCAGCAGUGGGGAAUAUUGGGCAAUGGGGGCAACCCUGAUCCAGCCAUGCCGCGUGUGUGAAGAAGGCCCUCGGGUUGUAAAGCACUUUCAGCGAGGAAGAACGCCUGGCGGUUAAUACCCGCCAGGAAAGACAUCACUCGCAGAAGAAGCACCGGCUAACUCCGUGCCAGCAGCCGCGGUAAUACGGAGGGUGCAAGCGUUAAUCGGAAUUACUGGGCGUAAAGCGCGCGUAGGUGGCUUGAUAAGCCGGUUGUGAAAGCCCCGGGCUCAACCUGGGAACGGCAUCCGGAACUGUCAGGCUAGAGUGCAGGAGAGGAAGGUAGAAUUCCCGGUGUAGCGGUGAAAUGCGUAGAGAUCGGGAGGAAUACCAGUGGCGAAGGCGGCCUUCUGGACUGACACUGACACUGAGGUGCGAAAGCGUGGGUAGCAAACAGGAUUAGAUACCCUGGUAGUCCACGCCGUAAA
rnacentral:rRNA from 1 species